rnacentral:lncRNA from 1 species
UAAAAACCAAACCCAUGAAGAUCAUCAAGUGUUUGGGGCCAUCCUUUUGUACCCAGAGUGACUUGGUUUCUCUCAUUCUGCCCCAGGACAAAUGCAUAAGCCACCUAUUCAACUGAACAAAAAUGAAGCUGAGAGCUCCAAGCCUGAAGAGGGCACUGUCUCCUGCAGGGCCUCACCCACAGCAUGCUAUUAAAAACCCCACUCUGCGUCACAGACACCCUUUGGUAAGGCAUCUCACACAGAAGUCUGUCUUCUGAUCCUUUACUCCAUGAGAAGCUUGUCCAUCUCCCAGGAAAAUCCUGUCCUAGAUCUAGAGCUUGUGUCUCUCCUUGAAGGUGAAUGGAGUAUGGCCUUCCCAUUCACAUGUUGAAGUUCUAACUCUCCAGGGC